rnacentral:tRNA from 2 species
UCGGGAGUCGUCUAAUGGUAGGACUACAGAUUCUGGAUCUGUCAAUUGGGGUUCGAAUCCCUGCUCCCGAACCA